UCCUUGCACUGCAAUAAGUCACAUAUUUACAGGGAAAAAAGUUGUACUCUGUUAACAUUUUUGUGAUCAAUCUUAUGAGGCUACAAUGCUACAUACAUCUGAUCCAUGGACUGUUUGAAGGGUUUUGUUUUUUGUUAUGUUUGUAUUACGUUACGAAUUCAAAUUUUGCAUAAUUACCUCAGAAUAAGCUGUGUGAUCGUACACAAGGCCCUUACCUAGAGCAAAAGGCACAAGAGAACAAAGAAGAAGAAAAUGACCACCAGUAAUAAAUUUCAUAAGUAAAUAAACAGGGAUAUGAUAGAGUGAGAAUUUUCAAGACAGAGCGAACCAUAUGUUGGUAUAACAUCAGCUCCUAGGAGAAACCAAAACAGCAGCAAAAGUAUGCAGCAGAGUGGAGGAAUGAAAGAGAGUCGACAUGGGAAAUCGAGUUAUUGAUGCAGCUUAUAAUGUAUGUCUUCGUCCAUGCUAGUUCACAUGCAGGAAGAAGAGUAAUAGAGUAUUGUAAAAUCAUGUUGCCUUGCAUAUAAAAUAUGAAUCAUUUGAAUA